UAGUCAACACGCCCCAUCCAGGCUACACCCCUUCCUUAGUUUUUUUUCUUUUAAUUGGGCUAAGCCUUUUUUUACAUUGGCGCCACCUUUUGCAUGUUUUACCCCCCUUUUAUUUUAUUUUAUUUUAUUAAUUGAUUAACUAGUCAAAUAUUCGUGCGUCCGCACGGGUUUAAAUUAUUUUGUACAUCAUAAUUAUAUUCAAA
rnacentral:lncRNA from 1 species